UACGGAGGGUGCGAGCGUUGCUCGGAAUUAUUGGGCGUAAAGCGUACGCAGGCGGCUUGUCAAGUCGAGUGUGAAAUCCCGGGGCUCAACCCCGGACCAUGCAUUCGAUACUGGCGAGCUUGAGUGCGGGAGAGGGAGCGGAAUUCCUGGUGUAGAGGUGAAAUUCGUAGAUAUCAGGAGGAACGACCGGUGGCGAAAGCGGCUCCU
rnacentral:rRNA from 1 species